rnacentral:rRNA from 1 species
GUUUAUUGUAUACCUAAAAUAAAACCCUAGACAAAUCUCGAUUGUGUUAAGUUUCGACUUCCACAUCAGUUAAGCGUGUUUGGGUGAGAGUAGUACUAGGAUGGGUGACCUCCUGGGAAGUCCUUGUAUAGCAUCCC